CUUUUAACCAAGAGGUGUGGCAUUUGCCAGCAACUGGUCAAUGUUUUACCCCAAUCGUGACACAUGGAGUGGCUCUCACUCAAAACAGAGUGUAUGUAGUUCAGAAAUGCAUCCUGGUGCAUUUCUCCUGUGAGCUUCACAACAAUCUAGUGGGCCCCCUGGAAAGAGCAGUUAAUCCCAUUUUUUCUUAAAUAAGGAGGUGGAGGGCCUGGGCGGUGAGCGGAACGGCAGAGUCUGACCCAGCCUCCUGCCUGGUGCCCUCAUGCCGGCCGAGGUCCUCCUCCUCCUCCAGAUUCUACAUGGUCUUCCUUCCACCAGACGUUCGGCGGUACCCCAGACUGAGAUGUGCACCCACCUGGGCGGAGACAAAUGAGCAGCAGAGGCUCAACUGCCCGUUUCCAGCCAUCUUCCUGAGAACGUGCGCACAGUGAACUGCCUUGGACCAGAGGGACGGCGUCCACCUUGGAGCUGAGGCUGAUGCGUUUCCUGCCCAUUGUGACUGAUUAGGGUUCCCUAAGCUCGGGGAUCCUCCUGCAAAGCAGCCUGCUGUGGGCACAGACGUGACCUGCCCCAGCCACGUCACCCUAUGGGAACUAGGGGCUGGGAACUGACACAGGUGCUAAUUUUUGGCUACUGCUAUGGCUCUGAGCAAAAGCUUUGCUUUGUCUCUGACCCAGGUGUUGCAUAUCUUCGACCAGCUCUAUGAAACUGCAGCAGCUAACUGGCUAGUUAGGAGGCAUUUCAGAGUUGUCCUGCCUGGUGCCCUCAUGCCUCAGGACUUAGCUCUCAGCAGCACUGAACGCAAGCGUGGAGGGAGAUCCUCCUGUCCUGACUCUGCACAGGCCACUCCCCCUCUCUGGAGCUGCCCUCUCCCUGGCCCACCAGCUGCCAGCCCGUGUCCCUCUCUCCACGAAGCCUCCCCUGACGUGUCUGUCUCCCUCCUCCGGCUGCAGCGCUGGCAUGUAUCACAUUACCAAAACACUUCCAGUGAGAGCCCUGAGGGCAGGCCUGGGGUCCCAUCUGGCCUGGUCAGGAACUACCUGCCCGGUGUCUCCCCAUCAGGCCCCAGGAUCACCAUAUGCAGCCAGACCUACUGGAAGGAAGAGCAGAGUGGGUGGGGAAGGAGGGCAUGGGCGUGGCCCCUGCAUAACCACGUGGGGUGAGAAGCAAGCUGCUGGGGAGGGGGGCAUGGGCAGGGCCCUGUGUGCAGUGUGCAGUCUGGCCCAAGUACAGGAUUCUACAGUGAGAAGGGGGCCAGAAAUGUGUGAAGCCCAUGUGGGGGCAGGAAAUACCAGGGCGUAGUUCACGAUGUCACUUAGUAAUAACGCUGACCCAGGGAGAUCGUCCUUUAAAAGGCAAAAGGGCCCAAUAAAGUGAGUCCCCCGGAUGGAGAGCCACGGCUUCUGCUGGGAUGGAACUCUCUGGGCGGUUCCAGCCACAGCACGUGGGGCAGCCAAUUUCACGUCAACGUGUCCAGGCUGUGAUGUCCAGUGAUGUAAUCAAACACGUGUCUACAUGUUGCUGUGAACAGCUGACAUCAUUUACAAUCAGCUGCCAUCAAAUAAAGCAGCUCUCCACGGACAGCACGGGUGGGCCUCAUCACGUCCAUCAAAGACUUUGAGAACAAAACCUGGGGUUCCUCCAGAAGCAGAAAUUCUGCCUCCAGACUGCGGCAUUCCUUCUGCCUGAGUUUCCAGCCUACCAGCCUGCUGCACAUUUCAGACGUGCCAGCUCUCAGUAUCCUGUGGGCCGACUGCUUAAAAUAAGUCCUUCUCUCCGUGCACACGCACAGACACACACACACACGUGCAUGCUGCUCAAUGAGCCUGAUGAUGAGAGCAGGUUGGUGAGUGGGGAAGUGACCCAAUCAAGGCUGGAACCAUGAGCCUGGAGGUGACUCACAGACGGGACUUCCAGGGGCAGGGUCCCAGGUGAAGAAUGGAAAGGACAGGCACGUGUGUGUGUGGGGGCACCGCCUUUCUGGAGAGCAGUGUAAUGACACGAAUUCCUCCAAAAGCCCACAACCGUUGAUCUUGUUAAGGAACCCACCCUUAGAAAGAAUUAGCCGUAACCCCUCAGAGAUGUACUCCCACGUGGGCGCCCCCCACUCCAGGCCCUGCCAGUAUUCUGCUAAUAGUCUCCCCAGAGUCCAGCGGUGGAGGAUGACAUGACUGCUCCACCCCUGGAUGGAUGACUGUGAUGCCAUCAAGAAUAACGCUUUAAAAUAAAUAUCUAAUGACAUGGAAAGAGGUUCAUAUAAUAUAAAUACUUUUCAGAUUAUUCUUAAAGCAUUGUUUCUUUUCAAAAAGUUUGCAUAGGAAGACUACAUGUAACCCCCAAAGACUCAGUGGGGGUGAAACCAGACAUGUACAUGUGUAUGUCUGGAGCUCUCCACGCACACAGGGUACAGUCACGACCCCAAAUGUGGCCCCUGAUGCCAGCAGGUAUCCCUUUGGGAAGCAUUCUGUUGCCACGUAAGUUUGGGCAACAGUGCCUGUGGCUUGGGCAUUCGUGGCACAGGUCAUACCACAUGCAAGCUGCCUUCACUUUGUUUACAUCAGUUCUCAAGCACACCUCUUUUCCCCAAUCAUCUACUACCAUUUCUGGGAAUUAAAAUUCAAAAGUACGUUUUGGAAACCAGCCCUUUGACAUGACGCCCUGGUGGCUAUGCUGAGAAUGUCUAGAUGGUUUACAACCCAUGUUUAAGACAUUCAGGAAACAGAUGUUCCUGACUUUUUAAAAAACAGGCAAUAUUCUCCUGAUUGUGAAAGAAUCUUAUUUUCAUUUCCUAGACUGUACUGUGAACAUGUGCCGGAGAGGACAGCUCCUGUUGAAGGGCACUGCUGCCUCCGGCUGUGAGGCCGAGGCGUGCGAGGCCGUGGCCACACCACCGUGGUCAUCAGCCCACCCUGCCCAGGUUUCCUCCGCCCCAUGGCCCCUGCUGCGCUUUUCUUGUUGACGUUUCCUCUGAAUGCUUUUCUUCUCCACAUAAAUUUCAGAUUCUGAGCCACGUACCCUGAAAGCUUUCAAACCUAGGACCAAUGGUCACAUCCUCACGACACACCAAGCAGUCGGCAUGACUGUCUUCAUGGACAGAGGUCCCAUACUGGGGGACCCUGGGGAGGGGCCUCAGGCCAUUUCCAGUACUGAAGAGGCCCCAGCAGGAUCCAUAUGGACCUGAAAGGCUUUGAAAAUCAAGGAACAGCGAUCUGGGCCCAGAUUCCUCCGUCCUUGUCCCAGGCUGGAAUUCCGGUCACUGUCACAACUGCAGCAGGGGACCCUUUGUGGCUUCACCCCUAUUGAGGCUGCCUCUUUUUGUCUUGUGUCCUGGGCCCCUGGAGUGGGGUGGGCGGUACUAAGGCCUUUUCUUCCCUAACAGCUUUAUGGAGCUAUAAUUUACAUGCCAUAAAAUCCACCUGUUUUAAGCAUACAAUUCGAUGAUUUUCAGUAAAUCUACAGAACCGAGCAAGCAUCCCAAUUUGGUGGGAGGACAUUCCUAUCAGCCCCCAAAGACACCUCGUGUCGCUCUGCAGAGGGGCCCCGACCCCACACCCACGCCACCACUAAUCUGCUGCCUCCUGAGGAUUAGCCCCUCUGGGUAUCUCACAGAAACAGCGUCACAGACCACGCGGGCCUUUCUCAUCUGACUCCUUCCACUAGGACUCACGCCUUUAUGUCUACUCUAUGAUCAACUGUUACGUAAGUGAAAAAAGGGAUUGCAAGUAAAAAACACCCCUGAGAGCUGCCUUGCAUUCAAGCAAUUUUUGGUCACUGUUCAACUCAUUUGACGAAUGGUUUGUAAAUUUUGCACAUGUCUAUUAGGUUUCAAGUCAGUGUGGUUCAGAAAUACUUAGUGUAUUUAGGUGUUGAGUUUUAGGUAGGCUACCACUUAGGAAGAGCAAAUGGUUUCUCUUAAUGUUUCAAAAAAACUCGAAAGUGCUGAGUUUAAACUUUGGAAAAUUACGAGUAGCCUGUGCUGUCCAGUUAAGCACCCAUCACUAACAUCCUGGCGAGCAUAUUGUGAAUUAGCGCCACACUCUCUUUUUCCACUCAUCAGGUGAAGGAAGUCACCCCACUUCGAGGAGACCGUGUGGGUGAUUACAUGCAGAAUCGGAGCCGCCCUUUCUAUACAGUGUCUUCAGCUUACACUCGGUCUAACUCCACCGAAGACACAGGCAUCCACUGGGGGUCUUGGAACAUACCGCCAUGGAUAAGGUGGGGCCGCUGCACUGCAGGAGGGGCUUUACAAGCUCUAGAGCUCAAACAGCCACCACAGGUCAGCACUCUCCUCUCUGGGGUGCAGGCGAGGACUCCACGGUCCUGAGAGGCUAGAGGGCUUGCCCAAAGGCACACAGCUCCUGGAAUUGGGGGACCAGCACCCAAAGCCCGGCACUCGGCAGAGGCUGACCUCUUACCACCACCCCGGCUGCUCCAACUGAUUCACCCCGGAAGAGUGGUUAAGGCUACCAGGACACCUGAAAUGAUGCACAUGGCUCACAUGCUCCCGGCAGGGUUGGUAUAGACCGCUGGGAUGAUGAAUGAGAAAUCUGAGGGGAGAAUGUAAGACUGUUCUUGGAGAGGAGAAACCGCUUUUUAAGCAGUGGGGAACCAAGGCUAUCUGACUUUUCCCCUCCUUCAGGUACGUAUUUAGUUCUCCUAGAGACAGCCAAGGACACCCGUCUGAAAGGCAUCAUUACGACCAUUUGCACUGGCAUCUGUGGACGAUUCUCAGUUCUCAACAACAGCAGAUUAAUCCCAAAAUCUGGCUUGGCUUUUGGAGUUGAGAAAAACUCCUACUCAGUGUGCCAGCUGUGGACAGCUGUAGCCCCCAACCUGCUCUGCCUACGGAGGCUGCCAGGAGCUUUGACAAGACCCGGAAAGGGGUGGGCUGCAGAGACACUCACCACAACCUCAGGAAAUACUCCCCCAUCUCAUCUCUUGUCAUUUUUUCUCUUGUUACUAACUCUCAUCUUUAAUUAAUCUCUUCCAGACUAAAAAGCCCAAUGGCCUCACUAAGCUGUUAAAAGUCAGUUAGCUGCAGAUGAGGGGGCCUGUGCUGGCUCAUCCAUGGUGCUUCACAAACUCCCAGGCCCCUGCAGACCGUCAGUGUUUGCUGAGCUGGCUGCUGUGCCCCAUUAGUGUCCCCUGUGUAAAUAGGACACUCGAGGAUGUGGAUGACAUGGCUCCAGCGUGGCUCCAGAAUGUCUACAUCCACGUGGUACAUUCCCCGCAGCUGGACCACCAGACUCCCCAGGAAGGCUCGGACUGUCCUUGGUGUGGGCACCAACCCCUCCUGCAGAGGCCAGGACCCGGAAGGUGCCCUGCAGGGAGCCACCGCACAGAUGCUGGGCUCUGACUUGGGCCGUGACAGUGCCAGACAGUUCACAAGCCCCUGCCCCGUCCCAAACCAAACCAUAUGGGACACUUCAGGAAUCCUGCAUGCUGGCCGCGAAUGACUCUCUGAUCUUAUGGACGGGGUUUUGCAGAGAGAAGGUCACUGGGGUCCAAGAAUGAGCCAGCGCUGCCUUCAAGCCCCACGGCCACAGGCACCCUUGCCCUGCCCUGUCCCCGUGCGGCGCCCUGUGCUUCCUUAAUGGUUACUAUUUGCCUCGGAAACACGAUUUUUUCUGGUUCCACUUAAACUUUGAACUAUCUUUUACUUUUCUCAACCCUUCGCACAUGUGGCGUAUGUACUUUUUUCUCUUUUUCUAGCAGUUUUAUCGAGAUAUUCACAUACCAUACAAGUUACUUCAAAGUGUACAAUAAAGCGUUUUUAGCAUUUUCACAUUUUAGCAUUUGCAGUCAUCACCACCAUCUCAGGACAUUUUCCUUACCCCCCAAAAGGAUCCUGUGCCCGUUAGCAGUCACUGCCCCUUUCCCAGACCAGGGCAGCCACCCAUCUUUCUGUCUCCAUGGAGAUGUCCAUUCUCCAUGUCUCAUAUAAACAGAAUUGUACAGUCUGCGGUCUUUUGUGACUGGCUUCUUUCAC